rnacentral:lncRNA from 1 species
UAACAUUCUGGAAGCUGAAGGUGUACAACACGCUGGUUUGAUGCAUUUGUAUGUUGUGACACGACUAUCACCAACGUGAUCCAGAGCCUCAUCUACUGAGUAAUAGCAUCUAACCACCCAUCAGCUGGCCCAGUGACCCAGCAUAAAUAGAGGUGGCUGGACCCUCCCAGGGCUCUUCCUCCACUUUGGAGCAGAGGGGCAUUUCUGAGGAGAUAGUUGUUAAAAGCAUGGCCUUGGGAGCCAUUUGGAUCAAGACAUGAAUCUUGCUCUCCCGCCCUGCUUGGCUGGCCCUAGGAGGACCACCCCUCUCUCUGAGUCUCCAUUUCUUCAUCUUCAUCAGCCAAGCAGCCAUGACUCCUCCUCCACAACCUCCUCCUGUCAUUACUAUUACGUCUCUCUCUCCUAGGAUGGCUGUGCAGUCUGGCCUGAAGGAGAGAUUCAGGCCGGGGAUAUCAGCUUAUUUUAUUUUAUUUUUGAUUUUAUGUUAUUGGAGUGUAGUUGAUUUACAGUGUUGCAUUAGUUUCAGGUGUACAGCAAAGUGAAUCAGUCAUGCAUAUAAAUCUGUCCAUUCUUUUUUCCCACGUAGUUUAUUACGAACUAUUGAGUAGAUUUUCCCCUGCACUACAGUAGGUUUUUGUUAAUCAUAUAUUUUAUACAGAAGUGUGUGCUGUUGUUCCCACCCUCCCAAUUCUUCCCUCCCCCCUGAUGGUUUUACCUAUGGUAACCAUAAGCUUGGUUUUGAAAUUCGUGUGUUUGUUUCUGUUUUUUUUUUAAUAAGUGCUUUUAUCAUUUUUAUUAGAUUCCACAUAUAAGUGAGAUCAUAUGAUAUUUGUCUUUGUCUGACUUUCUUCACUAGUAUGGUGAUCUCUAGGUCCACCCAUGUUGCUGCAAAUUGCAUUACUUCAUUCUUUUUGAUGGCCGAGUAGUAUUCCAUUGUAUACACAUACCAUAUCUUUUUUAUCCAAUCCUCUGUUGAUUGGCAUUUACAGCUAAUUAAGGACUGCCUGGAAAUACCGUCUUCAUCUCCUGUAACCUUUGUUUUGCGAUGGUACAUUGUGGCCAGUUACACAUCGGGGAAAUACCUCCUCCUCGACCUGCCACAAGCUGUGAGCCUGGAUGGGCCACACCGAGUGUCUAUGGGAAUUUAGGCAAGAGUGGUGCUGGAGAACGUGGCUGCGUCGGACUCUUCAUUUCACUUUCCCAAUGCCUUUGAAAUCUGUCCUUUCUGACAGACUCUGCCCUAGUCCGAGCCUCUGUCCCAUCUUAAUUCAAUGGCUGCAAUUGUUUCCAUCUUACCUUGGAUACACUGAGAAAGCAGAGCCUACAAGGACUUCCCUGCUGCUUUUUUACUUAGGAGUAAUCCCAAGAAUCAGAAAGGAGGGAUGGCAGAGUGGAAGAAGGAACCUCAGUACAGGAGGGUGUAAGUGAGAUCACCACCUUGGGAACCUGAACCCACCAGGGACUUUCUGAAGAGUGGAUCCUGAUUGCCCGGGAGGAGUCUUUAUCCAUGGGCCCCCAUUCUCCACUGGCUGAGGGUGGCUCCCAGAAGCACGCUCUGCUGCACAUUCAGAUCAUUCCUACCUAUGCUUCCUGGCAUUGGUGUCAUUGGAUAGGCCCAGGGGAAGGAUGUAUGUGAGGUUGGGCUGUUAGUGUGAGGAUAGGCAAAGCCCACGUGGGAGUGUCCACCAUGGCUGUGGCCGUGGCUGAACUCAAAGGGGAUGCUGAACAGGUGUGGAGCAGGGCAGCUGAGGUUUCCUGUACAAUCUCCUACCUGUGCACUUCCUUCCUGUACAAUCUCCACCCUCAUCAGGAGGCUCCUUGCUCUUCUCUACACAGGCACUACAGUUAUUAUAUUUUCAAAAUGUAAAAUGGACCUGUCAUUGAUACCUUCCCAAAUGUCAGGGCUUAAAUCUGUUCUAUGGAUAAAAAUCACAGUCUUAAGAUGGCCCAGGGAGAUGCACCAACCUUUGCCACCUCUGCCCACUGCUCCUGUCUCUUCUCCUCUCAUCCCCCCACCUCACUCUCCACAAAUGGGCUACGUGCUUGCCAUGUCAUUCUACACACUGUACCCACAUUGACCACAGGGCCUUUGCUCAUGCAGUUCUUUCUUGCACCAGCAGACCUCUCUUUGUCCUUCACGUCUCAGCUCAAGCAUCGGCUUCUGCAGAGGAGACUUUCAAACCCCUUCUCUGGAAUGGGGUCUUUGGAAAUCUAAACCAUGUUCUCAUGCUACCAACUAAACUGUUAGGUAAAUUAAACAUAAAUCAACGCAGUAAGACAACUGCAAAAAUCCUAAUUGGCCAAUUGAUCUUUCUGGUUACUGGGUCUGAAAAGCUGCUUCUCUGGGACCCUGCCCAUCCCAGGUCCUCCUCUUCUCCUGAGCAUGCUCACUGUCAAGCUGCAUCUUACUGUCGUGGAAUGUCUUAUUCUCUUCCUGAGAUGGGAUGGAUCCAGAGGACAUAUAUUCCUGGUUCUUUGAUUGUAUGUCUUGCCUUUUAUUCGAGGUCUGUGCUUCCCCCACUUCCUAAAGAGCUCGUGCUGGCUGAGGGCCUGGGAUGCCUGCCAGGUGGGUGAGACAUCUGAGCAUGACUCUCUCAGGGAAGCAGAUGGAGAUGUUCCAGUCACCUGAUUUGAACAGAUCACGAAACUUAAGCAGCUUAUGCGCUGGGCUGGAUCUGACACAUGGCUACCACCCCCUUGAACUUGCCAGAACCUGAGAAGCGCCCCAGAUUCGGAGCCUUUCCUGAUGCUUUGCCCGUCGCUUCACCAAUCAAACCACAAAAACAAGUGGAGCUUUGGGCGGAUGAGGAAUGGAACCACACAGGAGUUUCAAAAGCUGGGCCAAAGAGGCCAUGAUGGAGCUGAGCUUUGACCCUCACGGACUCUCAGAGCAAACAGUGGACCAGUUCUCCUCUGCAGUGGUGACCGUCUCCUUUUCAGACACAGAAGGCGAAAGUACCCACAGUUCGAGAGUAGAUUCGUGGAGAUGUGAUAUUAAACCUUAAGGAAUGAAUCUUGCCAAUAACUCAGAGGGUGGAAAGAAUCAGAACGUUUCCAGGGAAGGCGGGAUCUGGCCCAGCUUGGACGUCCGGGUACCGUCUCAGUAACAAGUAGCCAAGGACGACCUCAGCGUGUGGCACAGAGUGGCUGACAUCUCUGCUGUGAGCCUGGGCAUUUCCUACCAUUUUCUCAUCUGUUUAUUCAUGCAAUGUUCACGGAAGGCGCCUAUGUCCUGGGCACCGGGUCUGUGGCACUGAGGGCCAGGGCAUUUUAGAGGAGAAGACACGUGAAUAGCAGGCAGGGGGUGGUAACUAUUAUUUGGGAAUCAAGAACGUGGACAUACCCAGUGCUUGGGGCAGGGGUGAUGCUGCUUUAUCUGGGGGGGUCGGAGAAGGAAUUCAGGCCCCUCCCAGGGGGAGCUGGGACAAGAGCAUCCUGGACUGAGGGACUGUGGGGCCAGGAAAGGGUGGGUUGGACAGGAACAAGAGUGGGGUUUGGAGCUUCACUGGUUCUGCCACUGAUUGUGCAGUGCUUGGACCAGUGACUGUGAGGAUGGGCACGGAUGGGCUAGGAGCUGGGCCCUGGACUUGCAUCCUGGCUCCGCCCCUAACAACAAGACCAGCUGGCAAGUUACUCUGCAAGCUUCAACUUCGCCAUUUGUAAACAUGGGGGAGACCUAUCUUUCAUGCCUCAGAUCUUUGGGCAGAUGAAAUGAGUUAAUUUGUGCAGAGCCCCGAAGCCAGGGCCAGACAUCCUGUGAGCCCAGGAUGAUGUUAGCUUUUCUAUGGGGGCAAGUUGCUUCCCCUCUGUGGGGUUCAGUGCUGCCAUCCACAGAUGGAGGGCUGCCAAGGGAUAGUCUUGCCAGGUGCACAACUCAAAGAUUUUUGGAACUCUGAUGCUAAUUGACAUGUUAUUUUAUGGUCCAUUUGCAUGUUAUUUGCUAUCUGCUGUAUUUGUUAUUGUUGUUGUUUUCCUUUUUUAAAAAAAAUUAAAAAAAAAUUUUUUUAUAGGCUGCCCCAUCACAGUCCUCUUGUGGGAUUUAGCUUCUUGCCCCUGACAUUGAGCCCAGGCAUCCCUCACUUGUCUUUGCUGGAAUUCCACUUCUCUCUGCUUCCCUGGUGGGUUUUCUUCCUCCGGGGAUCUUUACACACCACACCAGUCCACUGAUUUGAUUAAAAACGUUCUCUCCAUAAACCCCAACACACUGGCCAGAGGUCUCUGGAGCAGAAACUUUUAAAAAUGAAAUUUCAAGCCAUUUUCUGUUUGGAGACCAAGUGUCUGGGAAAGAUACCAUUUCAACCAAGGGUCCCCCAAGUCCCUCACAGACAGCCCUGCUUGCGAUUUUGUCCCAGACACCCAUAAAGCUUUGUUCGGCCGCCUGAUUACUGUCCUGGCCACAGUGUCUCAGGCAGUAAGCCACAUGUAAACCCCACCAGUCUCUCCUGAACACAGUGCACUGAGCUCAUCAGUGCUCUGUGGUGCUCACAUUGAACAGGACAAGGGCUUUAGAGUGAAAACUGAAACUGGGGACCUGGUGUCUUGGUACUAGGGAUGCUGAACUUCACCUCCCCAGCUGGGUGGUCAAUUCCACAGGCAUUCUGGUAAGGAGGGGAGAUUGAAAAGGCGGUGCCACCAUUUACGGACUCUGUGACCGACCUGGGUCCCAUAUUUUUUUUUUUGUCUUUUGUCUUUUGUCUUUGUUGUUGUUGUUGUUGUUGUUGUUAUUGUUGCUAUUUCUUGGGCUGCUCCCGCGGCAUAUGGAGGUUCCCAGGCUAGGGGUUGAAUCAGAGCUAUAGCCAUCGGCCUACGCCAGAGCCACAGCAACGCGGGAUCCGAGCCGCAUCUGCAACCUACACCACAGCUCACGGCAACGCCGGAUCCUUAACCCACUGAGCAAGGGCAGGGAUCGAACCCGCAACCUCAUGGUUCCUAGUCGGAUUCGUUAACCACUGCGCCACGACGGGAACUCCCAUAUUUCUUAUCUAUGAAACCUGAGCCUGUAUCUUUGUUUUGAUGCCUCAAUGACAACAUGGGGCUUUAUAAAUUCGUCACUUUUUAUCCUUCAUAACUCAUGUAUGUGCAUAUUUAUCUUGCUAAAUAAAUGCAUGGCUGCCCUUCCAUAUCAGAGCCUGACGAAUCCUCAUCCUACGAAGUCUAGGCAUUUCUUGGUCUGGGAGGAAACAGACCGGCCAAGUGCCUGCAGGUGACUAUGGGACCAGGUAAAGCCUGCAGCGGGUGGACCUUAUAAAGCUGUCUCCCUCUUCCCCCUCCCCCUGGGGAUUACUUAAUUAUCUUCUGUGAGAGCAGAUUUAUACACCUGUAAACGAAUCAUUCCUUAACGAUUCUCUCCUUCCCAGACCACGCGGACCACGAGGCCACUCAUGUUUCAGGCCACCUCCGCAGCUCGUCUGCCCACAUCAGACCUUUCAGAACCGCCAGGCUGGUGGGGUCCACCUGGGUCGGCCCCCCUCUCCCCUGGCCCAUUCCCACCCUGCCCACAGCGAUGUCGUCCAGCACAGGGCUUUGCCUUUUUAUUCCUGAAUCCUCAGCCCUAGUCCCACGGACUGUGGUCUUAUUUAUGUUGGGUGAACACGUGGAAGGUCGAGGAAGCUGCGGGGAGGAAGAACGAACGACUCCCUUCAAGGCCUCCAGAGAAUCCUGUAACUUUCUAGAGUCAGGAUAGCAGAGGCCUGACCUUGCUCCUGGGCCAGGCCUGCAUCCCCUGAGGUCACCCUCCUUGGGGUCACCGACAGCGCGCCCCCGGAGCCGCUCUCGGCUCAAGGUUGAGGCAACAGCGCCACCUCCUGGCCUCGAGGCCGCUGCCGUGGCCUGACUCUGGCGGUCUCGGGCGCCCUCUUGUGGGAAUUCAGAAGCCACCUGGUUGGCUGAGAAGGUCCCUGGGGACUUCUCCACCUUUGCCGUUUGACUCGUGCUGUGGGCCUGCGCUGGAACCAAGCCUAGAAAUCAAGGCUUCAUAGGAGCUUAGGAUGCUGACGAUGAGGCAUAUGAUGUAACCAGCUGCAGGCAUCAAUGGCAUGAAAACUGCGGUGGUGGUGAGGAAAGAACUCCGGAGAAUGAUGGAGAGGAACUGGGAGGUGAAAAGAAGUGGAGGGAGAGGAAGGAGGUGCUAGGAUGACCUCUUUCUGGACUAAAGUCACUGAGAAGGCCACUGGAAAGAGCACGUUGAAUGUAGACAGCCUUUCCCCAGCAGGAGGUCCGGCAUUUCCAGUUACCCUUGUUUGAGCUGUUCUGGAACAGUCCCCGCCCUGAGUCUCCCCUCCACGAUGUUGGAUUAUUGACGACCAACCACUGAUGGCUCUGGCUGGGGCUCAGCUAUAGAAGUAUCUUGGAGGCCUGGGAACGCAAGCCCAGCUUGCAAUGUCCUUCCCUGAAAGGCUUGUUUUGUUUGGGGACAUCUCGUGCCAAUCUGUCCUGCCAAGAAAUGAUUGCUGUUGAACUGUUGGUUUGCAUUGCUGUCAAACACAAUCUUACAAGGAGAGCAAGGGGGCAGCCCCCCCUCGAGAACCAGCUGAGAGAGAAGGCUUUUGACUGGCUGGGACCUUCUCAGAAUCUUCUGGAGAAUUUUUCAAAAAGACACAUCCAGAGUGGCUGAUGAGAAUCACACCCACAGCGCAACUAAACCCUCACCCACAGCACGGAGCAGGUCCUGUCCACCUAUGGGGGCCACAGUCAGCAUCCCCAGGGGACGGGGGAGAAGGGCAAUCAGAGGCCCGGAGCCCCAGGUGUAGCUUUGUUUUGGGCAUAUGCUUGGAUCUCCUCUGUUCCAAAUGCAAGCAGUCGUGCAGGGUCCUGCCUAACACACAAAGGCUAGGAAGAAUGUGGAAACAAUGCCCCAGUAUUUGAGCCAGGUCUAGGCUACAGUAGGGACACUGGGCAAAAUCAGUAGAGAAGUUUGCUUUGCUGUCAUGUCUCUCCAAACACCUGGAGGCAUGAGAAGGUGAAAUUUUAUGCUGCUGGCCUUGUUCUGUUGUUUGUUUCAUUUCUUUCUAAUAAAAAUGAUUUGAAG